UUUAUUUUUAUUUCUUUUAAUAGUAAUAUAUUAUAUUUAUUUUGGUUAUUUUUUAUUUAAUUACUAUCGCACCCGCUGGUUUACCAGUCAUAAAACUAACACAAAUGCACCCAUUAUCAAACGCUCAACCAGUCGUUCAAAACGUUUGAUAACGCUUGAAACCGCAACCGCCCGUUUCCGCAAACUCCCGCAACCGCAACCGCACCCGCUGCGUUUAAACCAGUCAGGCCCUUAGUCCCGUUCCAACUUAGCCGGUUGA
rnacentral:sRNA from 1 species